GCUGAGCCAUUUGGGAGUCCAUGACUUGGCUGUUUUAGAAGCCGUGAUGCACUGAUCUCCCCCUGCGGGAGUUGGGAACGUGAAGGUUCCGCCAGUCACAGUUUUCAGAUACGGCUGAAAUGUGAAUAUCCUGAUUGAAGUGUUGAGACGAUGAUUACGUGUAUCUGAGAUUUCAAGUGUGAUAACCCAAGUGACAGCUCAGUGACCAGGACCUGAGGCUUUCAGCACAAACGGCAAGAGAUUCAAGUAGAAAAGCAGGAGGGACUGGCUGACGUGAUUGAUGAGGGAGGCGGAGAAGUCCCACCAUCUGCUGUCAGAAAGCUGAGACCUAGGACAGCCAGUGGUGUCAUUUAGUUCAGACCCGAAGGCUUGAGAACCAGGUGAGGUCCUGCCCCGCUGCCCCCUGGGUGAACGGCUUGCCCUGGGACGUGUUUUUUCUCCAGUUCUGUGGAUGUUGAAUCCUGAUGCUGCUGACCCAGGAAGUGUCUGUUCGUGUCUUCAUGGGUGUCCGAGGAUGGGACUGGAAGAGGCGGCUGGGCUGCAGGGCAGGCAGCGUUUUGACCUGAAGCUCUCUGAGCAGGCUGAUCACUCAGGCGGGCCGCUCACUGCACACCUUGGAGAGUGAGGCUCAUGGGGGUCCCAGGUGGGGCGCCUUCCCCUCCCUCCCCAGGCUGAGGCUGACACGGGGCUCCUGGGCUGCCGCUGCCUGUGGUUCCCAGCCCUGACUUUCCUGGGCCUUUCUUGGCACUGCCAAGUUAGCUCCCACGAGGGAGGGCUGGUGAGGACCUGGCUGCAGUCAGCACUUCCUAAACCGACCUUGCACUCUGGAGCCCCGGACAUACACACCUUCCUCCCGGGGGCCCUCUGCCCGUGUGGUAAAGACGGAGGCUCUCAAAGGGGGCGGAAAAAUCAUCUCUUCACACUCCUGGACACGGAGGCCAGUGGGAGCUGCUGGCACAGCCCUUUCUCAGGAGGGUUGGGGCGUCGUGUUGCUGCGCACAGGCCAGGACGGCCCUGAGAUGCCUCUGUGGGCACCGCUCUCUCGCGAAACCUCUCCAGCCUGUCCGCCUGCUGCACUCCUACUCCGAGAUGUGGACCCCCAGUGACAUCCCCGGCAGCCCUCCUGCUGCACCAGCCCCAAGAUGUGACCCCUCAGUGGCGUCCCCAGCAGCCCUCCAGCUGCAUCAGAGGCAUGCUCUGUUCCGUGUGGUGGAGUCCCAAAGGCCGGGCUGCUACCAACGCCCUGUUCCCUCCACACUCAGGUACGGGCCAGCAAGUCUGGUAAGUGGUCCUUACAUGUUUUAGGGAAGGAAAAGUCCCAAGACCUUGAAAAAGACAAGUCACAGAAUAAAAAGCAAUAUUCUAACAUAUGUAACUGACAGGGCUUGGAAUCUAAAAAACGUAAAGAGUACUGGCAAAUCAAUGACAAAAACACAGGCAGCUGCAUAGAAAAGCAGCCAGGGCACUGGGACGGGUGGUUGGCAGAGAGGAGACCCAAACGGUUAUAAGAUGUGUGCGUAGGGAGCAGCCUCAUGGUAACCAGGGAGACGCACAUCAGGACUGCAGUGGGUCUCCUCCGCACUGUCUCCUGGUUGGCAGGGGCUAAGUGCUGGCAGUACUGUGUUGAUAAGGCUGGAGAGAAAUAGGGCUUUUCAUACCCCGAGUGGAAGUCAGUAGAGUCACUUUGGGAACUGGCUGAACAACGCCUGGUCAACCUGAAGAUGUGGAUUCCCUGACUCAGCGGCUUCGCCCUGGACAUACGCAACCUGCGGAAAUCGAGGCACAUGUGAAGGCAGCACGAUGUACACACACAGGAGGUCAUGGCAGCCUUGCUCCUAGUAGCUGGAAGUCAGAAACAGCCCAUGUGGUGUCAGGAGAGUGGGGAAGUGCCUCGCAUAGGGAUGGAGGUGAGGAGGAGCUCGUUGUUCAUCCGUAAACGGUGCCCACGCUGUCUGCGGGCUCCACUGCCUGCGCGUGCCACGCGACUGGGCCAGGCAACUUCUCGACACCCAGGCUGGGGAGGGCUUUGCAGCAGCUUGAAUCCAAAGAGCGGCGGGGAAACCGAGUCAUCAUUCCGUAGCAGCUGAGGGCGUGAGCGUGCAGACUCAGUGCCCGGUGACUCUGAGUUUCAGCAGAACAGCCUCAUUCAGCGAGUGUGGUGAAGGGUAGUUUGCUGGCUCUGUGUGACUGUUGGCAUUUCGUUUGCAAACACCCGGCUUUAUGUUGCAGUAUGCUUUAGUGUGAGGAGCAGGAUUUCAGUCCACCCCAAGCACAGCACAAGUCCUAUUUUCCCCUUAAAGGCCCCCAGAGGAGCCGCUUCAGGGUUUGCUCUCUGGGGUGGAGCUGGGGUCACUGAGGAGGGGAAGCCCAAACCUAGAAAGUGGGUGGCUCUUGGAGUGUCCCAGGGACUGCUGGGCCUUAGACAAGAGGGACGUGGCUGUGGUAUCCUGAGGCCACUGGGCUGGCACAGGGCUGGACACUCUGUCCUCGUCCUGACCGAGGUGGCUGCCACCAGACCCUCCUCAGGACCAGCGUCCAGGAAUCUGGGCACUUCCUCUCCUGAGACCCUGGCCCCACCCCAAGGUCCAGGGAUUCUGGAACAGUGUCCUCUGAGUGUCCGAGGGCAGACUUGCCAGAUGGAUUCCUGCACUGGGGCUGGGAGGCGUUCCGAGUGCGGCUCUCCCUCAAAUGACAGCCUGUGAUAGCGAGGCUGGCUGCAUCAUUCCCCAGGAAUUCCCCUUGGAACGCAUGCUGGCCCCAGGCUGCUCCAGGCCGCAGGCUGGCAUCAGAUGACCUCGGCCCAGGCCUCCUCCCCAUCCUCCUUCUCUGGUCCCUUAAGGAGGGGAGGACACUUCUUCCUGAGGGCCGCAUCUCCCACACAGGCACCAGAAGCUCAGAAGCUCAGCUUGGUGACAUCACUGGGGCCUGGCCAUCCCUGAACUCAUCCCUGCUGAGUGGGAAAGGGCAAGGGCCUCACAGUCAUGUCCGACUCUAAGCCGGGAGCCUUGGGAACCCCCAGGCCUGAGUCACAAUGAGACCAGAAAGGCCAGGCAGGGUCAGCAUGCCCAGUUUGCCCCGGUACCCCAGUCCACCUGGGUCCAGGGGUUGGAGUGGAGGCCAGGCAGGGUCAUAUCCAGCUAGUCCGGUACCCAGGUUCACUGGGGUCCAGGGGUUGGGAGGGGAGGCCAAGCAGAGCCAACACGUCCAGCUAGCCCUGGUACCUGGGUACUUCUCACCCUCCCUGCUAGGAGCCUCGGCCUGGGCUGCUUCCCAGAUCCCUGUUUUCGAUUCCCCAUCUUUGUUCCAGCACCCCAGGGGCCCGGUCAGAGUCUGAGGAUGAGUUCUAUCCGUUCUAUCCGUCGAAGGGGCCGCCACCCAGGCAUGUAAGAAAUGGUGCAGGCUCUGAGUGCUGUGUUCCGGAUUGUCACAGAGGCCACGCACCCCAGCACCCACGUCCUGGACCCCACAGCGCCUGUGCAGGUGCUGGGCUCAGGCUGGUGGGCUUUGGUCUAAGGAUCCUGGAAAACCCACAGGUCCAGAGACCUGAGCAGAGUGGUUGGCGGUAAAGGCAUCAGGGAAGCAGGUGCAGAGCCCUGCGGGCCCCCAAGACUGGGUCCACUGAGACUGAUGGGCUGGGACCUGCAUUGGCCUGGAAGACCCGAGCUGAGGAAAGAAGGGAGGCCUGUCCACGGGGAGUGUCACGGACUCAAUGUUUGUGCUGCCCCAAAACUCUUUAGACAGGGUCUCCCUCUGCUGUCCAGGCUGGAGUACAGUGGCGCGAUCAUGGCUCAUUGCAGCCUCAAACUCCUGGGCUGCAGCAAUCCUCCCACCUCAGCCUCCCGGAGCUCUGGGAUCAGAGGUGGGAGCCAGCACGCCCAGCUCCCGAAUUCUUCUGUUGAAAUCCAGCCCCAAUAUGACGGUAUCAGGAGGUGGGGCUUUGGGCAGUGAUGUGGUCACAAAGGUGCAGCUGUCAUGAAUGGGUCCCAGGCCCUUGUAAGAAGAGGCCGAGGGCUCUCUCCCCCUCUUUCUACUGCUUUAAGGACAGAAUGAGAAGUCAGAAAUCCACAACUCAGAGGACAGCCCUCCCCAGGCCCCGACCAGUUUGGCACCUGAUCUCUGGCCUCUGGCCUCGGCGUGGUAAGAAAUAAACUCUUAUGUUUACCAGCCACGCAGUUCACGGGUUUCCCUUACAGCAGCCCCAACAGGAGUGGCCCUGGUGGCCUCCACAGCCCACCCACUGCAUCCCACCCUCCAUGCCCCUGCCCUCCGUGCUCUGUCCUUCCCCAUGCCCCUCCCCCGCACCACAGCCCUGCUCCCUCCGUGCUGUGCUCGUCCUCCACACCCACUCCCCUAACCACAGCCCUGCCCUCCUCUAUGCCCCUUCACCCCUGCCAGAGUCCUGCCCCCUCCACACCCUGCUCCCUCCAUGGCCCGGCCCUCCUCCACAUCUUGCCCUCCAUGACCUCCCCUCCUCCACACCCCUGCCCCUCAACUACAGCCCUGUCCUCCUCCGUGCCCCUUUCCCCAUCUACAGCCCUGCUCCCUCCAUGCCCUGCCCCUCUGCCAUGCCCCUCCACCACCACAGCCUACCCUCGUUGUCCCCUCUUCCCACCUCUCCCACAUCCCUCUCCCACCUGCCCCUCUCAGGGACAUGAAAUUUCCUCUGCAAGAAACCUCUGUGGGGCUUCACCAGGCAUCUGCCCUACCCAGGCCUCAGGGUGGGUGCGCCUGGGACUUCAAAGGCCCAAGGAGGGCCCCAAACUGGCUCCUGCCCAGGCCCGGAGCACAGAGCCUCCUUGUUCCCAGCCCAGGCCCUCCCCUAGCCCAGGCACACAGCGGUCUGGAGGAAACCCUCUGGUGGC